rnacentral:misc_RNA from 1 species
CGCAACUUGCGCUCCUUGGUAUUCCUUGGAGCAUGCCUGUUCGAGUAUCAUGAAUUUCUCAAACCCCCAGGGCUUUGGCACUGAUGGGUUUGGACUUGGAGGCUGCUGGUCAUCAGCUCCUCUCAAAUGUAUUAGCUGGAACCUCAUGCGUUACCCGGUGUGAUAAUAUCUACUCCGCUGAGCGCAAAGCAGGUCUGCUUCUAAUUGCCCGUAAAUGGACAACUCAUGACAUCUGAUCUCGAAUCAGGUAGGACUACCCGCUGAACUUAA